UUACCCCAUGAUGCUCAGGUCCGCCGCAUCUCCUGGGUCGUGGGGCUGGUCGGCUGGUUCGCAGAUUAUACAUGGUUCCUCGUGCCAUGAUGCGCAUCGGUCGACCCCUUA
rnacentral:sRNA from 1 species